rnacentral:misc_RNA from 1 species
AAAAACUUCGGCAAGAACGUGGAGCUUGUGUGUGAGACUUGUGUGCUAACUUAGACCACAAGCCCCCUCACGAGCCCUGCUUUUACGAACCCUGUGUGAACCGUAAUAUUUAUUCCAUCCACGUAAUACGAAAUUUCUAGUCUAAAGUCUUCUUCAUAUCACGAGAAUAUGAUAAAAA